rnacentral:rRNA from 1 species
UACUUGAUCAUGGACUCAGGACGACACGCUGGCGGCGUUAAGCAUGCAAGUCAGAGCGACGCAUGAGGCUUGCCCGCGAUAUGACGAGAGCGGCGAACGGGUCGAGUAACACGUGAGCAACCUGCCCCGAACGACCGGUGAUAGCCCGAGCGAACUCGGAUUAAUACCGGAUGCCUUCACACCACCGCAUGGCGGAGUGAAGAACAAGCUUAGUUGCGCUUUGGGAUGGGCUCGCGGCCUAUCAGCUAGUUGGUGAGGUAAUCGGCUCACCAAGGCAUCGACGGGUAGCUGAGUCUGAGAGGACGAUCAGCCACACUGGAACUGAGACACGGUCCGAGACUCCUACGGGAGGCAGCAGCAGGGAAUAUUGCACAAUGGCGCGAAAGCCUGAUGCCAGCAACGCCGCGUGAAGGGAUGACGGCCUGUCGGGUUGUAAUACCUCUGUUCAAGAAGAUUGACGGUACCUCCAAUAAGAAGCCCCGCGCUAAUCUACGUAUGGCCAGCAGCCGCGGUAAUACGUAGGGGGACGAGCGUUGUCCGGAUGGCGUAAAGAGCUCGUAGGCGGCUCAGUAAGUCGGCUGUGAAAGUCCGAGGCUCAACCUCGGAACUGCAGUCGAUAUACUGCUGUGGCUAGAGUCAGGUAGAGGAGAAUGGAAUUCGCCGGUGUAGCGGUGGAAUGCGCAGAUAUCGGGAGGAACACCAGUAGCGAAUCUGGGCCUGUACUCGACGCUGAGGUAGCGAACAGCGUGGGGAGCAAACAGGAUUAGAUACCCUGGUAGUCCACGUUGCGGUACUAGGUGUGGCGAAUCGGACUAAGCGAUUGUCCGUGCCGAAGCUAACGCAUUAAGUACCCCGCCUGGUGGAGUACGGCUCGCAAGGCUAAGAACUCAACAUGGAAUUGACGGGUCCCCGCACAAGCGGCGGAGCAUGCGGCUUGAAUUCGAUGCAACCCGAAGAUACCUUACCUGGACUUGACAUUCAUGGAAACACGGUGUGCAUUAGCGUCCAUGACAGGUGGCUGCAUGGCUGUCGUUCAGCUCGUGUCGUGAAGAUGUUGGGUUACAACGAGCGCAAGCCCUUGUCCUAUGUUGGCCAGCGGUUCGGCCGAGGACUCAUGGGAGACUGCCGUGGGAUAACUCGGAGGAAGGUGAGUGACGACGAUCAAGUCAUCAUGCCGCCUUAUGUCCAGGGCUGCACGCAUGCUACAAUGUGGCGGUACAACGGGCUGCGACCCUGCGAAGGUUGAGCGAAUCCCACAAAGCCGUCCUCAGUUCGGAUUGCAAGUCUGCAACUCGACUAUCAUGAUAGCCGGAGUCGCUAGUACAUCGUGGAUCAGCAAUGCCCGCGGUCGAAUGCGUUCUCGGGGAUUGUACACACCGCCCGUCACGUCACGGAAGUCGGCAACUACCCGAAUGUCAAGUGGCCCAACCCUUAGGCGGCAGGCGAGCUGUGGGGUCGGUACACUGGGACGACAGUCGUAACAACGGUAAUAGCCGAGUC